rnacentral:rRNA from 1 species
CAAUUCAGCGGCGGACGGGUGAGUAACGCCUAGGAAUCUGCCUGGUAGUGGGGGACAACGUUUCGAAAGGAACGCUAAUACCGCAUACGUCCUACGGGAGAAAGCAGGGGACCUUCGGGCCUUGCGCUAUCAGAUGAGCCUAGGUCGGAUUAGCUAGUUGGUGGGGUAAUGGCUCACCAAGGCGACGAUCCGUAACUGGUCUGAGAGGAUGAUCAGUCACACUGGAACUGAGACACGGUCCAGACUCCUACGGGAGGCAGCAGUGGGGAAUAUUGGACAAUGGGCGAAAGCCUGAUCCAGCCAUGCCGCGUGUGUGAAGAAGGUCUUCGGAUUGUAAAGCACUUUAAGUUGGGAGGAAGGGCAGUAAAUUAAUACUUUGCUGUUUUGACGUUACCGACAGAAUAAGCACCGGCUAACUCUGUGCCAGCAGCCGCGGUAAUACAGAGGGUGCAAGCGUUAAUCGGAAUUACUGGGCGUAAAGCGCGCGUAGGUGGUUUGUUAAGUUGGAUGUGAAAUCCCCGGGCUUAAC